AAACUGGAUGACAACAGGAAUUUAUUCUCUCUCACCUCUAGAGAGUCUGAAAUCGAGGUGACAGCAGGGCCAUGCUUCCUUUUAAGACUCUAGGAAAAAAUCCUUUCUUGCCUCUUCCAGUUUCUUGCCUCUUGCCCGUGUGUUAAAGAAAGAAUUUUCAUGACACUUGUUAAAGAUGAUUAACUUCCCAGUAAAUUGCAGCAUGCCUGCCACAGCUGGAGGUGGAUGAAGAAUUCUGUUUUUAAAAGACCUCAGAGAACUGGAAUUUAAUUAAAUGAGCAUUUUUACUCCAUUCCAAAA